AGGUGACAGAAACAGAACAUUGCACUGACCAGAACUGCUGAGGCUGCACGACCGUCCUGGCAAGGAAAGGGUCAGAGAAGAAAAACUCAAAACCAGAGGACCAAAUGGAGCUGCACUCAAAUUAUAGCCCAGGAUGAGGCUGGAGAUGUGAUUCCUAGUAAAGAUCCACACCUGCCUGGAUGCCACCACCACCUCCCACUACCCCUCUGCCUCUGGCCCCUGCCCUGGCAGGAAAUUCAUCCAGGUAAUGUCCUUGAUGAUAGAUAUUAACCUGCCUGCAGCGCCUCACCAUCCCAGCAGCUGCAAGGACCCAAAUGACUCUAACACAGCAGCCCACUGUGAGUAAGGAGCUGCUGGCACAGCCUGUGAUUACGAGCAAUUGCAGCAGAGAUGUUGUAGCAGCAAAUUCAGAGAUGUUUCUGAAGUUUGGGAGUAAAGGAAGUUAUAGAAAAACAAACACCAGCCUAAAAGAAGACUUGGAAGCAAAUUCAGAUAGCAAAGGGGAAGAGGAAAACAUGACUGGAAGUGUUCAAGGAGGUGGGACAGGGCUGGAGCAAGCUGGGACAGUGGGAGGUGUCUUUAAGGUCCCUUUAACCCAAACCAUCCUGGGAUUUUAUGAUUCUUGUUACAUCA